AGGUCACGACCAUGAAGAAGGGAAGAUGGGUCGGGUCUAGGUUGUGCUUUGCGAUCGCGAUGGUGUGCCUUGCGAUUGCGAAGUGUAAUUUAUGCCUCGACAGAAAUAAUUUCCAACUUCAACUUUGUUGUUCAUAUUUUGGGAGCUCGAAUUUGGGUGAUUUCGAGGGCGUUCUUCAUGAUUUGGCUCGGGGGUUUUCAAGUAAUUUAUCAAAUUGAAGGCCGAUUUGUGAACGGAAUUCAAUGAUUUUCGAGAUUCUUACUAUCUAGACUAUGGGUAAGUCAAUUUUCUGAUGAAAUUACAGUUUUGCCCUUGGGGGCUCGGGGUUACCUUUUUGGGUUCCGAAUUAAAGUAUAGCAAUAUGGGUAUUGUUGGACUCGUUUAACAUCAUAGAACACUAGACUGAGCUCGUUUGAUGAAUUUGGACGCAGUAGAGCUUCCGAAAAGCUUAAUCCCUUAGAUCGAGAUUGGGAUUGUUCGGAGACAUUGAGGAAAGGCAAGUACAUUCGUGAGCUUUGGAACUUCAAAUCUAAGGUAAGUUGAGACUUACUAGACUCUUUAUGAAGUGUUUGUGUUGGCUAAUAUAAUUAAGGGGCGUAAUGGGGAAUAAGGGUCCAGUACUCAUGAGGUGACGAGCAUUUGUGUGGGUACUAGUGACAUGUUAUGGGUAAUAAAUGAAAAAUGGAAUAACCUUGUGAAGUAAAUAAUGUCAAGCUUAUGGACAUUGGUUAGUAGUGAUAAAUCUACUUGUUUGGCAUGGUUGCUUAUGAUAUGGGCUUAUGAUAGCCAUAUUCUCUAAUAAUUAUUGUGAUAUUCAGUGCAUUCAUCACUCUACAUCUCGUCUAAAUCAUGAAAAAGAAACUAUAUUUGGCAUGUAAUUGAUAUUAAGCAAUUGCAUGUUGUACGCAUAUCUAUUUCAUACAUUGUCAUGAUAUUAUUGGCAUGUUAUUGAUGAAUCCUACAGAUGGUCCAUAUAGACCCGAUUGGAUAUGGUACAUGGUUGGAGUGAUGAUGAUAUGAUAGCCUAUUGGCUUACACCCGAUGUGAUAUGGAGGAUCUGGGAUUCUGGGCUGCACGAGCAUGUGCAUACUGGUGCAUAUUGGCCAUUGAAUUGCAUUUCAUUUGCAUUCCAUACCAUACACACUUGAUUGUGUUGUCCUUGUGUGACUCUUAUAUGAAUAAUUGUAAAGGACCAAGCGUUAUGACUUGAUUGAAAUGUGGACUUGCUUAUCUAAAAUGCUUAAGUGAUUAUAAAUUGUACUACUUGUUACUAACAAAGUGUGGAGGUGAGUAUCAGAAGAAUCAACCGUCGUCAUCGUUUCAAUUUAGGAUCGAUCAACGAUGCUACUGAGUACACAUGGUUCCCCAUAAUCACUCUACACUUCUUUGAACAUUUUUGUGUGCCUGAUUCGAGUUCGAGCAGUGGAUGAGUUCCCGCCGACAAUUGAGGCAUUUCUUGGAGUUUAGGUGAGUUGAUGGCUAUUCUGCAGCACUGGACUCCAUUUGUAUCUUAUCUUUCUGUCUUUACCUUUGGGGUACAGUAUUUGUAGUAUUUCAGACUUGUAUUACGGAUUUAGUAGCUCUUGCUUCCAUAUUUUGGGAGAUGUAUGGCUUAGACUUAUUUAUAUUAUUAGAUAUUAGACUUAUUAUUAUUGACU